GGCUGAUUCAAAGGUAUUCACUUAUCUUAGUUGAGUAUUCACAGUCAGUUAUAGAUUGAACUUGUCAUUCUACUCUUUCCCCACUCUCAUUAUUGCACUUGACUACUCUUAA
ensembl:misc_RNA Y_RNA Y RNA